ACUAUAACGGUCCUAAGGUAGCGAAAUUCCUUGUCGGGUAAGUUCCGACCUGCAUGAAAGGAGUAACGAUUGCCGCACUGUCUCGGCCAAAGACUCAGCGAAAUUGUGGUUCCGGUGAAGACGCCGGAUACCCGCUACGGGACGGAAAGACCCCGUGCACCUUUACUAUAACUUAGCAUUGAGUUUUGGUGCUGCAUGCGUAGGAUAGGUGGGAGCCUGUGAAACUUCGCUUCAGGGCGGAGUGGAGGCAAUGGUGAAAUACCACCCUUGUAGUUCUGGAAUUCUAACUUAGGUCCGUUAUCCGGAUCAAGGACAAUGUUAGGCGGGUAGUUUGACUGGGGCGGUCACCUCCUAAAAGGUAACGGAGGUGUGCAAAGGUUCCCUCAGCUUGAUUGGAAACCAAGCGCAGAGUGCAAAGGCAUAAGGGAGCUUGACUGUGAGACUGACAGGUCGAGCAGGUGCGAAAGCAGGUCUUAGUGACCCGGUGGUUCUGUGUGGAAAGGCCAUCGAUCAACGGAUAAAAGGUACGCCGGGGAUAACAGACUUAUCUCCCCCAAGAGUUCACAUCGACGGGGAGGUUUGGUACCUCGAUGUCGGCUCAUCGCAUCCUGGGGCUGGAGAAGGUCCCAAGGGUUGGGCUGUUCGCCCAUUAAAGCGGUACGCGAGCUGGGUUUAGAACGUCGUGAGACAGUUCGGUCCCUAUCUGUAGCGGGCGAAGGAGAUUUGAGAGGAUCUGCUCAUAGUACGAGAGGACCUGAGUGGACGAGCCUCUAGUGUACCAGUUGUCGUGCCAACGGCAGUGCUGGGUAGCUAUGCUCGGAAAGGAUAACCGCUGAAAGCAUCUAAGCGGGAAACCUGCCUCAAGAUUAGAUCUCCCGAACGUAAGUUCCUUAAGGUCCCUUGAAGAUUACGAGGUUGAUAGGCUUAGGGUGUAAGUUCCGUGAGGAAUUAAGCUGAUGAGUACUAACCGACCGUGAGGCUUACUG
rnacentral:rRNA from 1 species